rnacentral:rRNA from 1 species
AUACGGAGGGGGUUAGCGUUGUUCGGAAUUACUGGGCGUAAAGCGUACGUAGGCGGAUUAGUAAGUUAGGGGUGAAAUCCCGAGGCUCAACCUCGGAACUGCCUCUAAAACUGCUAGUCUUGAGUUCCAGAGAGGUGAGUGGAAUUCCUAGUGUAGAGGUGAAAUUCGUAGAUAUUAGGAGGAACACCAGUGGCGAAGGCGGCUCACUGGCUCGAUACUGACGCUGAGGUACGAAAGUGUGGGGAGCAAACAGGAUUAGAACCCCUAGUAGUCC